rnacentral:rRNA from 1 species
CAUAUAUACCCUAGUACCACUGAAGAUAAGCAGGGUUGAGCUGGUCAGUAGCUGGAUGGGAGACUCCUGGGAAAACUAGGUGC